rnacentral:rRNA from 1 species
GUGGGGAAUAUUGGACAAUGGGCGCAAGCCUGAUCCAGCCAUGCCGCGUGUGUGAAGAAGGCCUUUUGGUUGUAAAGCACUUUAAGCGAGGAGGAGGCUCCUUUAGUUAAUACCUAAAGAGAGUGGACGUUACUCGCAGAAUAAGCACCGGCUAACUCUGUGCCAGCAGCCGCGGUAAUACAGAGGGUGCGAGCGUUAAUCGGAUUUACUGGGCGUAAAGCGUGCGUAGGCGGCUUUUUAAGUCGGAUGUGAAAUCCCUGAGCUUAACUUAGGAAGUGCAUUCGAUACUGGAAAGCUAGAGUAUGGGAGAGGAUGGUAGAAUUCCAGGUGUAGCGGUGAAAUGCGUAGAGAUCUGGAGGAAUACCGAUGGCGAAGGCAGCCAUCUGGCCUAAUACUGACGCUGAGGUACGAAAGCAUGGGGAGCAAACAGGAUUAGAAACCCGAGUAGUCC